rnacentral:tRNA from 1 species
AACAUAGAAGUAAAUAAUUACUACUAGUUUCGACCUAGUACCUUAAGGAAGUUCCCUUCAUGUUU